rnacentral:rRNA from 1 species
UACGUAGGGGGCAAGCGUUGUCCGGAAUUAUUGGGCGUAAAGAGCGUGUAGGCGGCCUUACAGGUCAGCUGUGAAAACUCGAGGCUCAACCUCGAGACGUCGGUUGAAACCGUAAGGCUAGAGUCCGGAAGAGGAGAGUGGAAUUCCCGGUGUAGCGGUGAAAUGCGCAGAUAUCAGGAAGAACACCCGUGGCUAAGGCGGCUCUCUAGUACGGUACUGACGCUGAGACGCGAAAGCGUGGGGAGCGAACAGG